rnacentral:ncRNA from 7 species
CAACUCUUAGCGGUGGAUCACUCG